UAGCUGUGGACAUGACCAUAA
rnacentral:miRNA from 1 species